GGUCGAUCCUGUCAGUAGUCAUAUGCUUGUCUUAAAGAUUAAGCCAUGCAUGUCUAAGUAUAAGUGAUUAUACAUCGAAACUGCGAAUGGCUCAUUAAAUCAGUUAUAGUUUACUUGAUUGAUACUUCUACUUGGAUAACCGUAGUAAUUCUAGAGCUAAUACAUGCGAAAAAAUCCCGACUUUUUGGAAGGGAUGCACUUAUUAGGUACAAAAACCAGUGGUGGGGCUUGCUCCACUUAAUUGGUGAAUCUAGAUAAUUGUCGAAUCGGUGUGGUCUCGUACCGUCGAUAAAUCAAUCAAGUUUCUGCCCUAUCAACUUUGGAUGGUAGUGUAUUGGACUACCAUGGUUUUAACGGGUAACGGGGAAUUAGGGUUCGAUUCCGGAGAGGGAGCCUUAAAAACGGCUACCACUUCCAAGGAAGGCAGCAGGCGCGCAAAUUACCCAAUCCUAAUACAGGGAGGUAGUGACAAGAAAUAACAAUACAGGUCCUUAAACGGACUUGUAAUUGGAAUGAGUACAAUGUAAAUAUCUUAACAAGGAACAAUUGGAGGGCAAGUCUGGUGCCAGCAGCCGCGGUAAUUCCAGCUCCAAUAGCGUAUAUUAAAGUUGUUGCAGUUAAAAAGCUCGUAGUUGGAUUUUAGGGUAACUUGACUCUUUGCCUUGCCGGUAGGUAAGUGCAGGGGUUGGGUACUCUUUUAUAUCUUCCGAGGCGCACUGGCCUGCUCUUAACUGCGUGGGCUAGGGGUCUUGGAUCGUUUACUUUGAAAAAAUUAGGGUGUUCAAAGCAGGCUAUUUUAUGCCUUGAAUAGAUUAGCAUGGGAUAAUGGAAUAGGACUCAGUUCUCUUUUUCGUUGGUUUUAGAGGGCAGGGUAAUGAUUAAUAGGAACGGUCGGGGUUAUUCAUAUUUAAUUGUCAGAGGUGAAAUUCUUAGAUUUUUUAAAGAUGAACCUAUGCGAAAGCAUCUAACAAGGACGCUUUCAUUGAUCAAGAACGAAAGUUAGGGGAUCGAAGACGAUCAGAUACCGUCGUAGUCUUAACUAUAAACGAUGCGGAUCAAGGAUUAGGUGAUGUUAUUUGUACAACUCUCCCAGCACUUUGAGAGUAAUCAGAGUCUUUACGCUCCGGGGGGAGUAUGGUCGCAAGGCUGAAACUUAAAGGAAUUGACGGAAGGGCACCACCAGGAGUGGAGCCUGCGGCUUAAUUUGACCCAACACGGGAAAACUCACUAGGUCAGGACAUAGCAAGGAUUGACAGAUUGAUAGUUCUUUCUUAAUUUCUAUGGGUGGUGGUGCAUGGCCGUUCUUAGUUGGUGGAGUGAUUUGUCUGGUUAAUUCCGAUAACGAACGAGACCUCAGCUUGUUAACUAGUGGUAGUAAGCUUCUAUACGGGUGAAGCUGGA
rnacentral:rRNA from 1 species